UAGGGAAUCUUCGGCAAUGGGGGGAACCCUGACCGAGCAACGCCGCGUGAGUGAAGAAGGUUUUCGGAUCGUAAAGCUCUGUUGUUAAGGAAGAACGAGUGUGAGAAUGGAAAGUUCAUGCUGUGACGGUACUUAACCAGAAAGGGACGGCUAACUCCGUGCCAGCAGCCGCGGUAAUACGUAGGUCCCGAGCGUUGUCCGGAUUUAUUGGGCGUAAAGCGAGCGCAGGCGGUUAGAAAAGUCUGAAGUGAAAGGCAGUGGCUCAACCAUUGUAGGCUUUGGAAACUGUUUAACUUGAGUGCAGAAGGGGAGAGUGGAAUUCCAUGUGUAGCGGUGAAAUGCGUAGAUAUAUGGAGGAACACCGGUGGCGAAAGCGGCUCUCUGGUCUGUAGCUGACGCGGAGGCUCGAAAGCGUGGGGAGCGAACAGG
rnacentral:rRNA from 1 species